rnacentral:rRNA from 1 species
UGGGGAAUUUUGGACAAUGGGCGAAAGCCUGAUCCAGCAAUGCCGCGUGUGUGAAGAAGGCCUUCGGGUUGUAAAGCACUUUUGUCCGGAAAGAAAUCCUUGGCUCUAAUACAGUCGGGGGAUGACGGUACCGGAAGAAUAAGCACCGGCUAACUACGUGCCAGCAGCCGCGGUAAUACGUAGGGUGCAAGCGUUAACCGGAAUUACUGGGCGUAAAGCGUGCGCAGGCGGUUUGCUAAGACCGAUGUGAAAUCCCCGGGCUCAACCUGGGAACUGCAUUGGUGACUGGCAGGCUAGAGUAUGGCAGAGGGGGGUAGAAUUCCACGUGUAGCAGUGAAAUGCGUAGAGAUGUGGAGGAAUACCGAUGGCGAAGGCAGCCCCCUGGGCCAAUACUGACGCUCAUGCACGAAAGCGUGGGGAGCAAAACAGGAUUAGAUACCCUGGUAGUCCACGCCCUAAACGAUGUCAACUAGUUGUUGGGGAUUCAUUUCCUUAGUAACGUAGCUAACGCGUGAAGUUGACCGCCUGGGGAGUACGGUCGCAAGAUUAAAACUCAAAGGAAUUGACGGGGUCAUAGCUGUUUCCU